AGAGGGGCUGGCUGAAAUACUUGGCCUUGGAGCUGCUCGCUCAUCUUGAAACUGCUGGGUUCAGUGGGAAGAGGUUUUCCAUGCUCUACUGUAAAUCUACUCUGAAGGACAGGUGGUAAUGCUGCAAAGUGAGCUGUGCCUGCUUCUGCUGUGAGGAGCAGAAAUGUCUCAGCACUGCACAGUUAGGAGGAAGGAAGAGAGGAUUGCUGGAGCCGAGCCUGGUUUUGUUCUUUCAAGACUGCGGUGAUGCGGAUAAUGAUGAGGGUAGCAGCUCUUUGUUAAGCUUCCAUCUCAAGAGGACCAUUCCGUCCCAGCAGGGAGGACAAUGCCAUGCUUCAUGCCUAGAGCUACUGUUCUUGAGGACACCUGUAAGGAACCUGCGGGAUGCUGGGACAGCCUUUGACCAGGAAGAUCUCCCCAUCUCUCCCCAGUGUCUUCCAGGCAAACGAGAGAGGAACUUAAUUCGUUUGAAGAAGCACCAAGUGUUUAAGCUGUUGGUGGAGAAGGAUGUAACUAAUGGACCUUUGAGCUGAACCCUCACAGAAAACUUAUGUUUUCAUAUGCAUCAGUAAAAGACAUUUUUUAAAUCUCAUUUUGCGACGUUGCACAGAUUCCUGUGAGAAAAAUAUUCAGCGUUGGUUCUCUCAUAUUUAUGAUGCAUCAGAAACCUAAAGAACAUCCAGCAAACCAUGGACUGCACAUGGAUGAAGACUUCUUUGGUGUGCGUGAAAAGGCUGCUUCACGGCCAAGGAGCUGCAGAGCUUUCCAGUGAUGCAUGCAGUCCCUCUUAGAGAUGCAUAAGCAAACCCUGCCUUCCAGAACCAAGGUUUCUCUCUCUGGGAUACCAGCACCUUGUAUGUCCACCCAGAAGAUGCAAAGACUAUAAGCUCACAGCGUGGGAGAAUGAGUAUCAUCUCAAGGUGAAUUCUGUGGAUUGCCCAUAAAGCAGAGCCUUGACCUAAGAGGAGCCCUGCAGAGGAAGUGGACACUGGAAGCUCAAGGGGAAGGGAUCUUGCUCUGUGAAGGUAUAGCUUCUGCAUGUAAAGAGGGAACAUGAUGGUCUGGGCUAUGGACUCUGAAGGGGGAAACUCUGCUCCUCGCUUGGGCUGCUGCCAGUACACCCCACAGCUCUCCACGUCAGAAUCGAAUGCUUUCAGUGCAGAUAAUGCACAGGAAGGUACAAUACAGCCAGUUGUCUGAGAAAAGAAGCCCGUUUUCUUCUAGUGGGUGGUAGG